rnacentral:lncRNA from 1 species
CUCAGUGGUUUGAUUAACCAAUAUGAGGAUUUAGCCAACACUUAUAGAAAAAAUUAAAGUUGCCUAGGAUAGUGAUCCACAAUUAAUGAUAAUUAAAGAGUCAGUAGAUGCAGGUGUUCAAUCUGAAUUCAGCAUAUAUGAUGAUGGUUCUUUGAGGUUUCAAAAUAGAAUUUGCAUCCUCAAGGAUUCAGUACUCAAACAAGAAAUACUUGAGGAAGC